CUGGCCCCUUCCUCGCUGAUGCUCUUCCUCUGCUCUCUAUUUCCUGGAUACCAUCAGUGGAGCAGCUUUCUUCCACCAUGGCUUUCAACCAUGAUGACUGACGAUGGACUGAAACUUCUGAAACUCCACUGAGAAAGAAGUAGCUUUGUUCCACCAUGAUGUUCCUGCCUUGGAAACAGCUGACUAUGGACUGAGUCCCCUGAAACAGAACUGAAUUAAACCUCUCUGCUUUUAAGUUAUAUCACAUGAUAGAGAAAAUGGUGGAGCAUUGACUGGCACCAAAAUUCAGCCUUUCUGAGAUCUGGAAUCCAGACACUGCAAAACCACAACUUGGUGAAGAGGAAAGGAGAAGUAGAUCACUGGGAAUCAGGAAGGAACUGAAAUGAAAGCAGAAGCUGCAGGGAAUUUGGAGAAUCUGUCCACAACACAGAGAAAACAAACAAUUUGGACUCUCUCACUGGCUCAAGAAGAGAAGAGUUUGGCUCUGCAGAAGCAGGGGAAGUGCCAAGGGCUGGGAGAUCCAGGGAGAAAUGGAGGUGGGCUGGGUUGGUAACACAGGCCCCAAGAGGAGCCCAUAGCUGUUGUGAAAUGCAAAAGCAGUGUGGGAUCUUGCUCCAUGGGGACAUCUUCCACACAGCAGGCAACAGCCGAAGGAUUCCAGCACAGGCACUCACCAUAUCACUAGAGAGUACUUACUCAGGUACUAUUUCAGAAAGGGACUGAUUAUUUAAAUCUGGGAUUCAGAACACCUAAAACAAACAAAACAAAAAACUUCACUACCAGUUUCCCAGUGUUACCCUCCCAUAGUAACUGGGUAAAAGUCUUGAGAGACAGCUUCGAACAAGGAGCAAGCUAGAAAGAGAUCCUCUGAGAAUUUGAAGCUCAGGCUGGGAAGGACAUGAGCCCAAUAUCCCAAGGUGAGAAGCCAGCUUGGCUUGAGCUGUACUCAGAAAUGGCUGGAUAUGAAAGUGCCUGUUGGCAUUAAGUACUUGAACCCUUGCCCUGCUAUCUACAUCCAGCACAUACCUGAGAUCUGUUUGCCUCCCCUCUCUAUCCAUGUGAACAAGGGCACAUCUCAGCAUACACAUCAUCACAGCCUGGGGUAAACAGAAGGCACUCUAGAAUAGG
ensembl:lncRNA